rnacentral:rRNA from 1 species
GAUGAACGCUGGCGGCGUGCCUAAUACAUGCGAGUCGAGCGAACAGACGAGGAGCUUGCUCCUCUGACGUUAGCGGCGGACGGGUGAGUAACACGUGGAUAACCUACCUAUAAGACUGGGAUAACUUCGGGAAACCGGAGCUAAUACCGGAUAACAUGUUGAACCGCAUGGUUCAACAGUGAAAGACGGUCUUGCUGUCACUUAUAGAUGGAUCCGCGCCGCAUUAGCUAGUUGGUAAGGUAACGGCUUACCAAGGCAACGAUGCGUAGCCGACCUGAGAGGGUGAUCGGCCACACUGGAACUGAGACACGGUCCAGACUCCUACGGGAGGCAGCAGUAGGGAAUCUUCCGCAAUGGGCGAAGGCCUGACGGAGCAACGCCGCGUGAGUGAAGAAGGUCUUCGGAUCGUAAAACUCUGUUAUUAGGGAAGAACAAAUGUGUAAGUAACUAUGCACGUCUUGACGGUACCUAAUCAGAAAGCCACGGCUAACUACGUG